CCUCAACUUAACUUUUUACAAUCCAUAACAAAAAGAGAAUAAAAAGAUAUGUGAAGGUUUAAAAAAUCUCUUAAAAAGACAAUUAGAAAGCCAAUGCUCAAACUAUUCAGCCCCCAAGCAUAUAGCAAAAUAGCUGGGAAAACUACAAGUUUAGAACCUUCAUUCAAGAAACAACCUUCAAUUGCAAUGGCCUGAAAACAAAAUCAAUGUUCAAAUUAGCAGUGCCACAUUGUGAGGUAAUUUUGAGUAAUGUGUGUACGAAACGUAGUACAUGGCACAAUAGCUUGAAAAUAUCUACCUCAAACCAUUCCCUUGUAAAUAGUGCAGUAAACAUCAAGCACAUAACUUUUUAAAAUGUCAAAAAACUAACUAUCUAAUAGUUGGUCUAAUGUAAGUAUGUGAAACAUGUGGCAUGUUUAGAACUUACAUAGGACCCGUGUGGUAGGCGAGACUUUGUCCCAUUCACGAAAACCUCGACAUAAAUUUUGGCAGAAUCUUAAGAACUCGAAUAAUUACAGACUGAAGCUUAAGAACUCGAAAAAUUAAAUCAAUUGAAGGUGAUAAUUUCAUACCGUUUUAAACUUAUUGACAAAAUGCAGUGUCCUAUCAAGGAACGUAAAGAAUUAAAACACAUCCAAACUGAAAGGCAAUAGGAUAUGCAUUUGAAGGAGCCAUGUUUGUAUUACUGAACAGACAAACGCAAAAAUGGUGGGUGAAAAAUGAGGAUAUAUGAGAGAGUGAAAAUUUA
rnacentral:lncRNA from 1 species